GUAAGGACUCAGGCCAGCCCAGGUGUCUCCCUGGUAUCCUUUCAGACCUUGGCCCCUGCUUUGGAGCUGUGUGGCCUGGGGCUCCAAUCCCAGCUCUGCCAUUCACCCUCCAUUUCCUUGUCUUCGAAAUGACCUCAUGAAAACUCACCACCCAGAGCUGAUAGGAGGCCCAGAGAGGUAAUGCGUGGAAGAGAGCACAAUACAGCCAUAGGCUUAGGGGUGGUUCUGGGCAGUGAGUCCUCCCAACAUCCAGUACAUGGGCGGAGGGACCCCUCCUCCGCCAGGCAUCUGAAGCUCCUGACCUGACCCUACCAGGCAUCUGGCCUUUUCCUGAACCUUGGGUAUGUUCGGGUUGCUGUUUGUGAUAAUACUAAUAAAAGCUCCCAUCAUCCUGGCUUUGGCUGUGUGACAUGUAUUUGUUCCUUACAGCCACUUUGUGAAGCAGAAACCAAGGUGGUCCUCAUUUCACAGAUGAGAGGACUGAAGGCCACUCAGGUAUGUGCACACAUGCACUUGGGCACUGGCAUAAACACAGCACAUGCAUGAACUGCCCCCAGCUGUCCUCCCCAGGCGUGUGCCUACCGAUCCACAGAGAUUUUCACAUAUGCACACAUGUGCAUAGUGUCCGGAGCUCACUGGGCCCUGAGCAGCAAGGCCCAGCAACACACAUGUGUACAAACACACACAUACCCUGCUGACUAUACCUGACACACACAUAUGCACCCUUACCCAGAGACUGCCUGUUGCAAACCCAGACCUGCACUAAGGGACUACAGCAAAACACAUGCUGGUACACACACACACACACACACACACACACCUGCGUGCACACCCACAGGCACCCACCCCCUGCCUCCCAGAGGCUCCAUCUGUAGCCGAGAGGCUUCUCCCUGGGGAACAUCCUGAGAUGCAGCCUAUUUUUAGAGCUAUUGCCGGCUGGUGCUUCUCCCUGUCUUUUGGCUUCUUAAGUUUUCCUGAGAAAAUAGCAGCAGGUGCCAACAGAGCUGUGUCCCCAGUGGAUGACUCAGAUCGAGGUCCAGACUCACUGGGUUAUUUUUUGAAGUCUCGUGAGUAUGCCGCCUGCUGGCACCUCUAUCCAUUGUCCUUUUCUCCCUCCGUGCCCUUAAACUGGACCACCCAGGUCUGGGUGGGUGAGGGGCAGCAAGCAGUCUGAGGGUGGCUGGCCAUGGGGCAGGCCUAUAGGAUACUGGAUGCUCAGAGCGCGUGGGCAGGACUAGAAAGAAGGCUGAGUUAGGGGAUUCUGACUCUGGGGGAGCACACAGAAGCUGGCUUGGAGCAGGUGCUGGGGGGAAGAUGAUCUCGUAUGGGUUGUCAACGCGCCCCUUUUCUGCCUCUCUCUCCAUCUCUGCUGGUCUCUGUUGCCUCUUUCUAGCUUCUGCAUGCCCAGAUCUGGAGUUCUCCCCUCCAAAAGAUGCUCCUGUGUCCUUGGGGGUCUCAGAGGGGGGCAGAUAUACCACAGCAUCUCUCUAACUCCCUCUGGCCCAUGGCAACCUCCUGACCCCAGACUGUAGCCCUCAACCCCCAGUGACUGCCUCUCCUCAGAGAAGGGGGGUGGGGUGGGGGUUGAGGAGUGUUCCUCCCACUUGCAUUUGCCCUUCUCCCACCCCCACCUGCCCUGCCUGGGUCUACGGGCAGCCUGGAUCUUGGGUCCUCAUUGUUCACCUCAGGGAAAGGGGGGAAACCCUUCCCCCCCCCCCCACUCCAUCUCAGCAUGGUAGGAAAAGGCCCAAAAGGAACUGAGCUGCCGCAGACCCACACUCAAGCAGUCUGCCUCUGCUCCCUUCCUCUGCAUCCUACGGAAACUGAGGCAGAAUGAGGAGCUAUUUUCCAGGUCACACCAGGAGGAUGGUGUGGGCCACGCCUCACGCCGGGACGUGUUCAGACACCCUGCUCCAUGGAGAUACCCGGACACAUACGUGGGCACCCAAAUGAUCCAUUCCCUCCUGUACCUGCCAACAGUUCCCCUCUCCUCGGCCCUGAACCCCAGUUCCCCAGGAAGACUUGUGGAGAUUAAUUGACAACUUUCAAGGUGUGGACGGGGGACUCAUGAUAGAGAUGCAAGAGUGGCCCCAAGACCAGAAAACGAGAGAGAAGGCAACGUUGCCAAGGCCCCAGGUCUCCAAGCCAGAAAUGUCAUCUUCAGACCAAGAAGCUUGACUAUCAAAAAUUUCCUCCCAGCGCUGGAGUGCUGGGAACUCAGGAAGAUGAGAGGCGCCGAUGGAGCCUGCCUGUCUCAGAUGAAGCCCCAGUUGUCCCGGCAGCCAUUCAGGUCAACUUGGUAAAGCCCGCGCCCUCAUUCAGGCGCCUCCUGUCUCAAUUACGUGCUGUCAUUAAAGCUGAAUUGA